GGUUCUUAAUAUUGUGGCAUAUUGCAGAAGAACAGAAUGUUGAACAGGAUUGCCAGCUCUCUUCCAGAGGAUUGUUUCCCCAACACCCUUUUGGAACUGUUUUUUUUGCAUACCUUCUCACCAGGUCUUUUAACAGAAGAUCUGUCUGUUUUGUUCGAAGAGUGUUUCUGCAGAGUUGAAAGUAACCACUUGAGUUAGAACCURCCUCUUGCCUCUUCUAUGGCAUGUUCAUUUCUCAAGCUUUUCUGCCUCUUGUUUACAAAGGAAUGUGACCAGAUAGGAGCAGAUCAUUUCUCCAGCAAUGUUGACAAUACUCGUUGGUUGCUCAGAGAGAAUGGGGAGCUGUGUGUGACAAGAGCUGCUGUGUCCCCAGCCAGUUCAGCAAUCUCUGCUCCAAAAAAACAAGCUCCUGCUCCCAACCACUUCACAGAGAAGCCAGUGCACACAACCCAUGGAGAACUACAGUCCAGCCCUUUAAGGAUAAGUCUCUGA
rnacentral:lncRNA from 1 species